rnacentral:rRNA from 1 species
UACGUAGGGUGCGAGCGUUAAUCGGAAUUACUGGGCGUAAAGCGUGCGCAGGCGGUUUUGUAAGCCAGAUGUGAAAUCCCCGGGCUCAACCUGGGAAUGGCAUUUGGGACUGCAAGGCUGGAGUGUGGCAGAGGAGACUGGAAUUCCUGGUGUAGCAGUGAAAUGCGUAGAGAUGCGGAGGAACACCGAUGGCGAAGGCAGCCCCUGGGCUAACACUGACGCUCAGCACGAAAGCGUGGGGAGCAAACAGG